GCUGGGGCACGGUGGCGCGUGCCUGUAGUCCCAGCUACUCGGGAGGCUGAGGUGGGAGGAUCGCUUGAGCCCAGGAGGUCUGGGCUGUAGUGUGCUAGGCCAAUGGGGUGUCUGCACUAAGUUCGGCAUCAAUAUGGUGACCUCCUAGGAGCGGGGGACCACCAAGUUGCCUAAGGAGGGGUGAACCGGCCCAGGUCAGAAAUGGCACUGGUCAAAACUCCCAUGCUGAUCAGUAGUGGGAUCACACCUAUGAACAGCCACUGCACUCCAGCCUGGGCAACAUAGCAAGACCUGGUCUCU
rnacentral:SRP_RNA from 1 species